ensembl:lincRNA
GUUUUUCUUUUUCAAAUAAUGGAGCAGGCAGAAGAGGGAGACUCACAAAAGCAUUGGUGGACAUGUAUCUAAAAAAUGCUGGAGAACAGCAGAUUGGAAUGGACCUCAUGGAGGCAAAAAGGGAAUCACAGACCUCAGCAAUGACUGGAAAUUGAUGGUCAGGGAUUUUUUAAAAAAAAAAAAUAUAUACAUCUGAUUGACGUGUGACUCGAUGGACGGCCUUCCAAGAUGGAGUGGUGGUUGGUAUAGAUAGUAAUUAGGCUUUGUCUGUGUCAGAGUUCUUUUUUUCAGGUUUUAGAGGCAGAAGCAGGCAGAAGAAGGAGACUCACAAGGACAUCGGUGAAGAACAGCACGUAGGGCUUUGUUAGGGCUGUCUUUGUCUUUUGCAGGUUGGAGUGGAGCAGAAUGAGACUCACAAGGGGAACGGUGGAGAUAUACUAGAAGACCUGGAGCUCAGGCAGAGGGUAGAACUGCUUGAACAGACUGAACAAUGGAGUUAGUUUUCGAAAGAAAUGUUCUGAGAUUAAUUAAAGACCUGAUAUCUUUCUCUUUGGCAGAUUGGCAUGGAGCAUGUGAAGGAAAAGAGAAACACGUCAGUAAUGACAAGUACAUCAUGAUAAAUUAGGUAAUGGACAAACAACAGGCAGAAAAGGAAACUCACAAGAGCAUCUGUGGAGAUUUACCUGAUGAACACUGGAUAACAGCUUGUGCAUUUCUGGAGCUCAUCAAGUAUGUAGAGCUCUGUUAGUCAUGUCUUUUUCUAUUACAGACAGGAGUGCAGCAUGUGGAGUAAAGUAGGAAUUCACACCUCAGCAAUGACUGGACACUGAUGGUCAGGAAUAUCCUUCAAAGGCAGAAGGAUGGGUGCAUGGAUGGAUGUCCUUCCAGGAGGAAGGGGGUGGUGGUGGGCAUAGAUGGUUGGAUAAAUGUCUUGUCUGUGGCUGUUAUUUACAUUGUAGGUAAUGGAACAACAACAGGCAGAAGAAGGAGACUCACAAGCAGAAUGAUUAGACUGGGGCAUGUGGAGAAAUGGGAAUCACACCUCAGCAAUGACUGCAAACUGAUGGUCUGGUUGGGUAUUUUUCAGAUUGAUGGAUGGAUGGAUAGAUUAAUGAAUGAUGGAUGGCUGGUCGGAUGGUAGAUGUCGUAGAUACGUAGAUGUCCUUCCUAGAGGAAGGGCGUGGAGGUGGGCAUAGAUUGUACGUAGAUGUCCUUCCUAGAGGAAGGGGGUGGAGGUGGGCAUAGAUUGUUAGAUAGAUGUCUUCUUUUUAGUAGGUAAUUAAAUUGCAGGUAUUGAACACACAAUAGGCAGAAAAGGGAGACUCACAAGAGCAUCCCUAUUUACAAGAGCACGUGCCAUCAUUAAUAAUUUUCAGUUUAGCUAUUUAUAUAUCGGUAAAUCGUUUUUGGGGGGAUGGGGGGUGUUGCAUGCGUUUGACGGGGGCCCGUGCCCGAAGAGAGCUUUAUGUUUAGUAACACCACUGAGACUUAUAAGAGGAACAGUGGAGAUAUACUGGAAGACCUGGAGCUCAGCAAACAGGUAGAACUGCUUAAACUGACUGAACAAUGGAGUUAGUUUCCAAAGAAAUGUAUUAAGAUCAGUUAAAGACUUGAUAUCUUUCUCUUUGGCAGAUUGGCUUGGGGUAUGUGGAGGAACAGGGAAACACGUCAGUAAUGACAAGUGGAUCAUAAUAAAUUAGGUACUGUUUUACAUUUUAAGUUAAAUCAAAUCAACUUUAUAAAACAUUUAAAGUUAAAUAUUUUAACUUUAACUGACUAGGUGAUGGUCGGGUAUCUUCUUCAGAUAGAUAGAUAGAUAGAUAGAUAGAUAGAUAGAUAGAUAGAUAGAUAGAUAGAUAGAUAGAUAGAUAGAUAGAUAGAUAGAUAGAUAGAUAGAUAGAUUUUACUAAACUAAA